AUUGAACGCUGGCGGCAUGCUUUACACAUGCAAGUCGAACGGUAACAGGCCGCAAGGUGCUGACGAGUGGCGAACGGGUGCGUAAUGCAUCGGAACGUGCCCAGUCGUGGGGGAUAACUACUCGAAAGAGUAGCUAAUACCGCAUACGAUCUAUGGAUGAAAGCGGGGGACCGUAAGGCCUCGCGCGAUUGGAGCGGCCGAUGUCAGAUUAGGUAGUUGGUGGGGUAAAGGCUCACCAAGCCAACGAUCUGUAGCUGGUCUGAGAGGACGACCAGCCACACUGGGACUGAGACACGGCCCAGACUCCUACGGGAGGCAGCAGUGGGGAAUUUUGGACAAUGGGCGCAAGCCUGAUCCAGCAAUGCCGCGUGCAGGAAGAAGGCCUUCGGGUUGUAAACUGCUUUUGUACGGAACGAAACGGCUCUGGUUAAUACCCGGGGCUAAUGACGGUACCGUAAGAAUAAGCACCGGCUAACUACGUG
rnacentral:rRNA from 1 species